AUACGUAGGUGACAAGCGUUAUCCGGAUUUACUGGGCGUAAAGGGCGUGUAGGCGGUCUUGCAAGUCAGAAGUGAAAUUCCUGAGCUCGACUCGGGCGCUGCUUCUGAAACUGCAGGACUUGAGUGCUGGAGGGGAUAGCGGAAUUCCUAGUGGAGCGGUAAAAUGCGCAGAUAUUAGGAAGAACACCGGUGGCGAAGGCGGCUAUCUGGACAGUAACUGACGCUGAGGCGCGAAAGCGUGGGGAGCAAACAGGAUUAGAUACCCUGGUGGUCCACGCCGUAAACGAUGAAUACUAGGUGUAGGGGGUAUCGACUCCCUCUGUGCCGCAGUUAACACAAUAAGUAUUCCGCCUGGGGAGUACGGCCGCAAGGUUGAAACUCAAAUGAAUUGACGGGG
rnacentral:rRNA from 1 species